GGAUGAUCAGGGAGAACUGUGAAUAUGGAAACCCCUUCACUGCAAUGGGAGGUCCCGCAAAGGGUUCUUUUGAAGACCCUGACCUGGAGUUGCAGGCAGACUUUGUGGAAAUGGGACCCACUCUCAAGGCCUCAUGACCAGCCGCUUUCCAAUACACCAAGGACGUGGCCUUCGAGGUCGGUGCCUCCGCCUGAUGUGUUGGAGUACACAGAAGGUCAAAAGCUGCGAGCUGGCUGUGUGCCCAGAUACCCAAGUUCGUUAGACAGAGAGCUUGGAAAAAGUGACGCAACAGACAUCUAACACCAUAAGUCGAUACUGCCUGACUCAUGGGGUUCCUCCAUUAUUUUGACCGGUGUGCAGGAGCACGAGAAGCAGCGUCAAUUUCUCCCAGGUUCGCAGCUGAAGAUUAAAAAAG